GAUGAACGCUGGCGGCGUGCCUAAUACAUGCAAGUCGAGCGAACGGACGAGAAGCUUGCUUCUCUGAUGUUAGCGGCGGACGGGUGAGUAACACGUGGAUAACCUACCUAUAAGACUGGGAUAACUUCGGGAAACCGGAGCUAAUACCGGAUAAUAUUUUGAACCGCAUGGUUCAAAAGUGAAAGACGGUCUUGCUGUCACUUAUAGAUGGAUCCGCGCUGCAUUAGCUAGUUGGUAAGGUAACGGCUUACCAAGGCAACGAUGCAUAGCCGACCUGAGAGGGUGAUCGGCCACACUGGAACUGAGACACGGUCCAGACUCCUACGGGAGGCAGCAGUAGGGAAUCUUCCGCAAUGGGCGAAAGCCUGACGGAGCAACGCCGCGUGAGUGAUGAAGGUCUUCGGAUCGUAAAACUCUGUUAUUAGGGAAGAACAUAUGUGUAAGUAACUGUGCACAUCUUGACGGUACCUAAUCAGAAAGCCACGGCCAACUACG
rnacentral:rRNA from 1 species